UUUUGAAAGUGAGUUUGUUAAGAGAGUCACCAAUAACCUGGGCACUCCUUAUGACUAUGACUCAAUUCUUCAUUACAAAUCGGGAUUUUUUGCUAAACACAGUGGUUUGAAAACACUGGUACCCAUUCCGGACAGCAACAGGAAAAUAGGUCAGAGCAGCUGGCUGACCAAAACGGAUAUCCUGAAGAUCAACAGACUUUAUGAGUGCAGUAAAUCUCCUUUCAGACUCCAUUCACUGGUUUCCCUUCCUUUCACAUACCAGAAUCUAAGAGCUGGGCUUCCACAAAAACCCCUACAACCAAGACAACUGGAACAACCAGAAGAGCCACUCGUCCUGUUGUUGGCCCCACCAUUGAGCCCAACACCCCCACAGGAACAGGUCAGCCUGGAGAAAUGAACAGAAAAUGACCUGCUCUCUAAUGAAGAGGACCCUGCUCCACACUCAGCUUCCGGACACAAGGCAGCUCUCACUGCCAAGAACUAAAGAUAUUUGUAGGGUGUAAAUAUUCCUUGUUGUAAAAUAAACAUUAA